rnacentral:rRNA from 1 species
UACAGAGGUGGCAAGCGUUGUUCGGAAUUACUGGGCGUAAAGGGCGCGUAGGCGGCUUGGUCAGUCCCGUGUGAAAUCCCUCGGCUCAACUGAGGAACUGCACGGGAAACUGCCUGGCUUGAGUUCGGGAGAGGGAAGCGGAAUUCCGGGUGUAGCGGUGAAAUGCGCAGAUAUCAGGAGGAACACCGAUGGCGAAGGCAGAUCUCUGGGCCGUGAACUGACGCUGAGGAGCGAAAGCAUGGGGAGCGAACAGG